UCCACAGAAGAAUAGCAACACAAUAUGCAGGAUCAAGCUAAUGCGAUAAUAGUACCGUUAUAUCCAAAAGGAGUCAUGAGGCACCGGCGAGAAUUAAAUCACGUUAUCUCAUUUAAGCAGCGUACAAUACACGGAUUACACUGCACCUUUAUGAAUGCAAUUGAACAAUUACAGUAAAGGAGAGUGUUAAUAGUUUUGAGGGAGAAAAACAGUGUUUCAUAUGAUUUGAACCAUGUCCACAAUGGUAUUGUACAUGUACAUCUCAACCAGAAAAUACUAAAACCAUCAGGAUACAUUCAUCCUCUUUGUUUACCAUGUGCAGCAGCUUGGGAACAUGAGGUAGCAUCUGCAGGGCUAGACUCACCAUGUUCAGAACUUCACUUGCUGGCCUGCACAUUUAUCAUACUCCCUGGGUAGAGAGACUCCACUCAGUUUUCAACCUUAGUGAUCUGCUAAUAUGUCACCAUUUCUCGACCUACUUCUGUCAUUUUUUUCUCCUAUUAUGCAUAAAUUUAAUAAAUAUUGAAGUUUCGAUGUUUCCAUUAAAAAAAAAAAAAAAAAA